UAACGGCCCACCAAGGCGACAACGGGUAGCUGGUCUGAGAGGAUGGUCAGCCACACUGGAACUGAGACACGGUCCAGACACCUACGGGUGGCAGCAGUCGAGAAUCAUUCGCAAUGGGGGAAACCCUGACGAUGCGACGCCGCGUGGAGGAUGAAGGCCUUAGGGUUGUAAACUCCUGUCAAGAGGGAAUAAGCAAGUGAAGGUACCUCUAGAGGAAGGGGCGGCUAAUUCCGUGCCAGCAGCCGCGGUAACACGGAAGCCCCGAGCGUUGUUCGGAUUCAUUGGGCGUAAAGGGUGCGUAGGCGGCGCGGAAAGUCCGGCGUGAAAGGCAGGGGCUCAACCUCUGGACUGCGUUGGAUACUUCCGUGCUUGAGGACUGGAGGGGAGACUGGAAUUCACGGUGUAGCAGUGAAAUGCGUAGAUAUCGUGAGGAAGACCGGUGGCGAAGGUGAGUCUCUGGACAGAUCCUGACGCUGAGGCACGAAGGCUGGGGGAGCGAACAGGAUUAGAUACCCUGGUAGUCCCAGCAGUAAACGAUGUGAGCUUGAUGUGGGGGGAUUCGACCCCUUCCGUGUCGAAGCUAACGCGAUAAGCUCACCGCCUGAGGAGUACGGCCGCAAGGCUAAAACUCAAAGAAAUUGACGGGGACCCGCACAAGCGGUGGAGUAUGUGGCUUAAUUCGAUGCAACGCGAAGAACCUUACCUGGCCUUGACAUGCAUUGUGUCGUCGGUGAAAGCCGGCUAGUCCUGGAAACAGGACGCUUUGCACAGGUGCUGCAUGGCUGUCGUCAGCUCGUGUCGUGAGAUGUUGGGUUAAGUCCCGCAACGAGCGCAACCCUUGUGGUCAGUUACUAACCGGCUUAGCCGGAGGACUCUGGCCAGACUGCCCUGUCAAACGGGGAGGAAGGUGGGGACGACGUCAAGUCAGUAUGGCCCUUAUGGCCAGGGCUGCACACGUACUACAAUGCCCGGUACAAUGUGAACCGAAACCGCGAGGUGGAGGAAAUCGCUCUUGAAAACCGGGCCCAGUUCGGAUUGGAGUCUGCAACUCGACUCCAUGAAGUCGGAAUCGCUAGUAAUGGCGUAUC
rnacentral:rRNA from 1 species